rnacentral:rRNA from 1 species
GAUGAACGCUGGCGGCGUGCCUAAUACAUGCAAGUCGAGCGAACAGACGAGGAGCUUGCUCCUCUGACGUUAGCGGCGGACGGGUGAGUAACACGUGGAUAACCUACCUAUAAGACUGGGAUAACUUCGGGAAACCGGAGCUAAUACCGGAUAAUAUAUUGAACCGCAUGGUUCAAUAGUGAAAGACGGUUUUGCUGUCACUUAUAGAUGGAUCCGCGCCGCAUUAGCUAGUUGGUAAGGUAACGGCUUACCAAGGCAACGAUGCGUAGCCGACCUGAGAGGGUGAUCGGCCAAACUGGAACAAGAACACGGUCCAGACUCCUACGGGAGGCAGCAGUAGGGAAUCUUCCGCAAUGGGCGAAAGCCUGACGGAGCAACGCCGCGUGAGUGAUGAAGGUCUUCGGAUCGUAAAACUCUGUUAUUAGGGAAGAACAAAUGUGUAAGUAACUAUGCACGUCUUGACGGUACCUAAUCAGAAAGCCACGGCUAACUACGUG